GAACGGUUCAAUCAGACCCUCAAACAAAUGUUGAGACGUGUGGCCGCUGAAGACAGACGUGAUUGGGACCAAAUGCUGCCCUACGUCCUCUUCGGCAUCUGGGAGGUCCCACAGGCGUCCACGGGUUUCACCCCCUUUGAGCUCCUGUUUGGGCGGCAGCCCCGGGGCCUCCUGGAUGUUGCAAGAGAGGCGUGGGAGCAGCAGCCAGCUGGCCACCGGUCCUCGAUCGAGCAUGUCCGUCUGAUGCGGGAGAGGGUCGACAGAGUGAUGCCCUUGGUCCGGGAACACCUCAGUCGAGCGCAGCAGGCCCAACAACGCCACUACGACUGGGCGGCACAGCCACGGGAGUUCCAGCCGGGAGAUCACGUCCUGGUCCUGGUCCCCAAUGCGGCUUGCAAGUUCUUGGCCACCUGGCAGGGGCCGUAUACCGUGACCGAGAAGGUGGGCCCGGUCACCUACAGGGUACGGCAGCCCGGGCGAAGACGGGAAAGCCAAUUGUACCAUAUCAACCUGUUGAAAAAGUGGAUUGGAACCAGGACCCAGCUCUCCGCCCUUGCCACCUCCUCUCCCAUGGUUGUGGACAUGGAGCCCCAACUGUCGGCUGCCCAGAAGACGGAGCUGCAGCACCUGGUCGGUCAGUUCUCUGAUGUGUUCUCCCCCCUCCCUGGGCGGACCAACGUGGUACACCACGACAUCCGAACACCACCAGGACUCAUCAUAAGGCAGCGGCCCUAUCGUGUCCCGGAGGCUCGGCGACACGCCAUCGAGGAGGAAGUUAAGGAGAUGCUGAGGUUAGGGGUAAUUGAACCAUCCCGGAGCCCCUGGUCUAGCCCCAUCGUCCUGGUUCCGAAGCCCGAUGGCACCCUCCGGUUCUGUAAUGACUACCGUCGCCUAAACGAGGUCUCGGAAUUCGACGGCUAUCCAAUGCCCAGAGUGGACGAACUCCUUGACCGACUCGGGAGGGCCCGGUAUAUUUCCACCCUCGACCUGACAAAGGGGUACUGGCAAGUCGGACUCACAGAGGAGGCCAAGCCCAAGACCGCCUUCUCCACCCCAAGCGGCCACUGGCAAUACCGGACCCUCCCGUUCGGCUUACAUGGGGCGCCGGCGACCUUCCAGCGUAUGAUGGACAUCCUUCUGCGGCCCCAUCAAGCCUACGCGGCCGCCUACCUGGAC
ensembl:lncRNA